rnacentral:rRNA from 1 species
UCAGUUCGGAUCGGAGUCUGCAACCCGACUCCGUGAAGCUGGAUUCGCUAGUAAUCGCGCAUCAGCCAUGGCGCGGUGAAUACGUUCCCGGGCCUUGUACACACCGCCCGUCAAGCCAUGGGAGCCGGGAGCGCUUGAAGUGCGUCGCCGCGAGGCGCGCCCUAGAGCGAGACCGGUGACUGGGGCUAAGUCGUAACAAGGUACC